rnacentral:rRNA from 1 species
UAGGGAAUCUUCCACAAUGGACGCAAGUCUGAUGGAGCAACGCCGCGUGAGUGAAGAAGGGUUUCGGCUCGUAAAGCUCUGUUGGUAGUGAAGAAAGAUAGAGGUAGUAACUGGCCUUUAUUUGACGGUAAUUACCUAGAAAGUCACGGCUAACUACGUGCCAGCAGCCGCGGUAAUACGUAGGUGGCAAGCGUUGUCCGGAUUUAUUGGGCGUAAAGCGAGUGCAGGCGGUUCAAUAAGUCUGAUGUGAAAGCCUUCGGCUCAACCGGAGAAUUGCAUCAGAAACUGUUGAACUUGAGUGCA